GUGAUUUCUGCGACUUACCACUGUAUGAAAAAGUUACAUCUGCCCACACAGAAAAUUGCAUCUCAACAAACCUGUCAUUGGUACCCGAACUACAUUUCAGUCACUCAGUAAAUUGAUAACUCAAAAUAUCAUUGUCAACAGAUCUGGAGAAAUUGCCACUGCGUCUUUAGACCGUUUUCGUCAGACGAGAGACACAGUUCUGACUCUUGAUUACUGGUUGCUGUACGUAUCUAUCCACAUCAAGGCUGUUGAGAGAGACUCGUGAAGAUUCAAGACAGCUCUUAGAGGAUUUGCAGUUUAAAAGUGACAUAAUUGUGAAAUAAGUGUGCAGAUGAGUGAUUAAACUGUGUUUUAUUGAAGUUGUUAUGCGAUUUUAAAGGAAUAAUAAAUGUUAAAUAGAGUGAGU